rnacentral:lncRNA from 1 species
UGUUUCUCCCGUUCUCAGGUAAUCCCGUUCUUUUUCUUUUUUUUAAAUUUUUUUAUUUGAUUUUUUAUAUAUAUCAAAACUCAAACACAGAAGAAUGCACAAAAUGAAACAAAUUCAUUACUAAUCAUCAAGUUCAUUGCUACUAACAUAACGUAAGUAGCAAUAACUUCGUAUAUAUAUAUAUAUACACGAAAAAACAAUUUUCUACAUCUUAUUAUUUUUGGUUUGGAUGAAUCUAAAUUUACUGCGAACAUUCUCUGAUAAUUUAUAAUUUGUAUAAAAUUAAAUUAGAUUAAUAAUUAGUAACAAAUGAUUUCUUAAAAAUGAUUUAUUUAUAGAAUUAACAUGAAAAUAAUAAUAUGAUUUAUAUAAGAGAUGAUAUAUUGACAAAUAAUCAUUUAAAAUUAUAUAUGAGAUUUUUAUAUAUUAAAAAAAAGAAAAUAAAAAACAUUAUGCUUUUUAAAAUAAGACGAAGUUAGUUAAGUAAUUUUAUUUGUAAAAUUUUAUAGUAGACAAUAGAGUAGUGGAGAGUGUAGUAUAUAAUGACGUGUCAUUUAUUAUUGGAAGAGUGCAAUGUUACAAGUUGUUAUAAUAAGGGACGUUUGAGUGAGGGUACUGUGAGUGUUGUGAGUGUUGCUGGGUGAAAGGGUACUACCUCCAUUAUGCAGGCUAUUUUCUUUUGUUACUUUGUUUUUUUAUAUCAAUGAAUUAAUUUAAGUUUGUUGUUGAUGGUAUGUGCAGAGAUCAGUGAGAACUUCUCCUCAUUUUGUUGAACCUACACACUGUUUGUUUCUCCGUUCUCAGGUAAUCCCCGUUCUUUUUCUUUUUUUUAAAUUUUUUUAUUUGAUUUUUUAUAUAUAUCAAAACUCAAACACAGAGAAAUGCACAAAUGAAACAAUUCAUUACUAAUCAUCAAAGUUCAUUGCUACUAAACAUAACGUAAGUAGCAAUAACUUCGUAUAUUAUAUAUACACGAAAAACAAUUUUCUACAUCUUAUUAUUUUUGGAUUGGAUGAAUCUAAAUUAUACUGCGACAUUCUCUGAUAAUUUAUAAUUUGUAUAAAAUUAAAUUAGAUUAAUAAUUAGUAACAAAUGAUUUCUUAAAAUGAUUUAUUUAUAGAAUUACAUGAAAAUAAUAAUAUGAUUUAUAUAAGAGAUGAUAUAUUGACAAAUAAUCAUUUAAAUAUAUAUGAGAUUUUUAUAUAUUAAAAAAAGAAAAUAAAAAACAUUAUGCUUUUUAAAAUAAGACGAAGUUAGUUAAGUAAUUUUAUUUGUAAUUUUUAUAGUAGACAAUAGAGUAGUGGAGAGUGUAGUAUAUAAUGACGUGUCAAUUUAUUAUUGGAAGAGUGCAAUGUUACAAGUUGUUAUAAUAAGGGACGUUUGAGUGAGAGGGUACUGUGAGUGUUGUGAGUGUUGCUGGGUGAAAGGGUACUACCUCCAUUAUGCAGGCUAUUUUCUUUUGUUACUUUGUUUUUUUAUAUCAAUGAAUUAAUUUAAGUUUGUUGUUGAUGGUAUGUGCAGAGAUCAGUGAGAACUUCUCCUCAUUUUGUUGAACCUACACACUGUUUGUUUCUCCCGUUCUCAGGUAUCCCCCGUUCUUUUUCUUUUUUUUAAAUUUUUUUAUUUGAUUUUUAUAUAUAUCAAACUCAAACACAGAAGAAUGCACAAAAUGAAACAAAUUCAUUACUAAUCACAAAGUUCAUUGCUACUAAACAUAACGUAAGUAGCAAAUAACUUCGUAUAUAUAUAUAUAACACGAAAAAAACAAUUUUCUACAUCUUAUUAUUUUUGGAUUGGAUGAAUCUAAAUUAUACUGCGAACAUUCUCUGAUAAUUAUAAUUUGUAUAAAAUUAAAUUAGAUUAAUAAUUAGUAACAAUGAUUUCUAAAAAUGAUUUAUUUAUAGAAUUAACAUGAAAAUAAUAAUAUGAUUUAUAUAAGAGAUGAUAUAUUGACAAAUAAUCAUUUAAAAUUAUAUAUGAGAUUUUUAUAUAUUAAAAAAAAGAAAUAAAAACAUUAUGCUUUUUAAAAUAAGACGAAGUUAGUUAAGUAAUUUUAUUUGUAAAAUUUUAUAGUAGACAAUAGAGUAGUGGAGAGUGUAGUAUAUAAGACGUGUCAAUUUAUUAUUGGAAGAGUGCAAUGUUACAGUUGUUAUAAUAAGGGACGUUUGAGUGAGAGGGUACUGUGAGUGUUGUGAGUGUUGCUGGGUGAAAGGGUACUACCUCCAUUAUGCAGGCUAUUUUCUUGUACUUUGUUUUUUUAUAUCAAUGAAUUAAUUAAGUUGUUUGUUGAUGGUAUGUGCAGAGAUCAGUGAGAACUUCUCCUCAUUUUGUUGAACCUACACACUGUUUGUUUCUCCCGUUCUCAGGUAAUCCCCGUUCUUUUUCUUUUUUAAAUUUUUUUAUUUGAUUUUUUAUAUAUAUCAAAAUCAACACAGAAGAAUGCACAAAAUGAAACAAAUUCAUUACUAAUCAUCAAGUUCAUUGCUACUAAACAUAACGUAAGUAGCAAAUAACUUCGUAUAUAUAUAUACACGAAAAAACAAUUUUCUACAUCUUAUUAUUUUUGGAUUGGAUGAAUCUAAAUUAUACUGCGAACAUUCUCUGAUAAUUUAUAAUUUGUAUAAAAUUAAUUAGAUUAAUAUUAGUAACAAAUGAUUUCUUAAAAAUGAUUUAUUUAUAGAAUUAACAUGAAAAUAAUAAUAUGAUUUAUAUAAGAGAUGUAUAUUGACAAAUAAUCAUUUAAAAUAUAUAUGAGAUUUUUAUAUAUUAAAAAAAAGAAAAUAAAACAUUAUGCUUUUUAAAAUAAGACGAAGUUAGUUAAGUAAUUUUAUUUGUAAAAUUUUAUAGUAGACAUAGAGUAGUGGAGAGUGUAGUAUAUAAUGACGUGUCAAUUUAUUAUUGGAAGAGUGCAAUGUUACAAGUUGUUAUAAUAAGGGACGUUUGAGUGAGAGGGUACUGUGAGUGUUGUGAGUGUUGCUGGGUGAAAGGGUACUACCUCCAUUAUGCAGGCUAUUUUCUUUUGUUACUUUGUUUUUUUAUAUCAAUGAAUUAUUUAAGUUUGUUGUUGAUGGUAUGUGCAGAGAUCAGUGAGAACUUCUCCUCAUUUUGUUGAACCUACACACUGUUUGUUUCUCCCGUUCUCAGGUAAUCCCGUUCUUUUUCUUUUUUUAAAUUUUUUUAUUUGAUUUUUUAUAUAUAUCAAACUCAAACACAGAAGAAUGCACAAAUGAAACAAAUUCAUUACUAAUCAUCAAAGUUCAUUGCUACUAAACAUAACGUAAGUAGCAAAUAACUUCGUAUAUAUAUAUAUACACGAAAAAACAAUUUUCUACAUCUUAUUAUUUUUGGUUGGAUGAAUCUAAAUUAUACUGCGAACAUUCUCUGAUAAUUUAUAAUUUGUAUAAAAUUAAAUUAGAUUAAUAAUUAGUAACAAAUGAUUUCUUAAAAAUGAUUUAUUUAUAGAAUUAACAUGAAAAUAAUAAU